AAGCAAGUCAAGAUGAUAUCAGAAGCGAGAGACUAUGAAAAGUUUUUUAAACAGUCUCACCCGGCCUGCAGAAGCCCUCCGCUGACCUCACACCUCUUCAACAUUCACGGGCACAGCCCUCUGGUCGUGCACUUCCUGCAGAACUACUCCAGGCUGUGCCAGAGCGGCCAGGAUGUGCUGAUAACCCGGAGGGAGAGGACCACGCUCAUCCCAUAGCCUUGUUGGUUUGGUUCUUUUUUUAAUUUCCUGGAUUUGUUUUUGGUACCAGGAAUUGAACUCAGGGCCUUGUCCUUGCCAGUAGGCGCUUGUGCCCCUGAGCUGUAUCCCCGGCCCUGUUUGUUUGUUUUCUGAAGCAGGGUCUCCCUUUGUAGUUGAGGCUAGACUCACUAUGUAGCCUAGGCUGGUCCUAGGCUCAAUGACCCUCCUGCUCAGCCUCCGCAGUGCUGGGAUCAC
rnacentral:lncRNA from 1 species